GCCGCCAUCGUCUAGCCCGGUUUAGGACGUCGGGUUCUCAUCCCGAAAAUCAUGGGUUCGAAUCCCAUUGGCGGCG
rnacentral:tRNA from 1 species